GUGGGGAAUCUUGCGCAAUGGGCGAAAGCCUGACGGAGCAAUGCCGCGUGAAGGAUGACGGCCUAUGGGUUGUAAACUUCUUUUCUCAGAAAAGAAUUAUGACGGUAUCUGAGGAAUAAGCAUCGGCUAACUCUGUGCCAGCAGCCGCGGUAAGACAGAGGAUGCAAGCGUUAUCCGGAAUGAUUGGGCGUAAAGCGUCUGUAGGUUGUUUAAAAAGUAUUCUGUCAAAGAUUAGGGCUUAACCCUAGAUAGGCAGAAUAAACUUUUAAGCUAGAGUUUAGUAGAGGCAGAGGGAAUUCCCGGUGGAGCGGUGAAAUGCGUAGAUAUCGGGAGGAACACCAAAGGCGAAGGCACUCUGCUGGGCCAAUACUAACACUGAGAGACGAAAGCGAGGGGAGCAAAUGGGAUUAGAAACCCUUGUAGUCC
rnacentral:rRNA from 1 species